rnacentral:rRNA from 1 species
UACGGGGGGGGCAAGCGUUGUUCGGAAUUACUGGGCGAAAGGGCUCGUAGGUGGCCAACUAAGUCAGACGUGAAAUCCCUCGGCUUAACCGGGGAACUGCGUCUGAUACUGGAUGGCUUGAGUUCGGGAGAGGGAUGCGGAAUUCCAGGUGUAGCGGUGAAAUGCGUAGAUAUCUGGAGGAACACCGGUGGCGAAGGCGGCAUCCUGGACCGACACUGACACUGAGGAGGCGAAAGCCAGGGGAGCAAACGGGG